rnacentral:rRNA from 1 species
AGUCGAGGGGCAGCAUUUCAGUUUGCUUGCAAACUGGAGAUGGCGACCGGCGCACGGGUGAGUAACACGCUAUCCAACCUGCCGAUAACUCGGGGAUAGCCUUUCGAAAGAAAGAUUAAUACCCGAUGGUAUAAUCAGACCGCAUGGUCUUNUUAUUAAAGAAUUUCGGUUAUCGAUGGGGAUGCGUUCCAUUAGGCAGUUGGUGAGGUAACGGCUCACCAAACCUUCGAUGGAUAGGGGUUCUGAGAGGAAGGUCCCCCACAUUGGAACUGAGACACGGUCCAAACUCNUACGGGAGGCAGCAGUGAGGAAUAUUGGUCAAUGGGCGCAGGCCUGAACCAGCCAAGUAGCGUGAAGGAUGACUGCCCUAUGGGUUGUAAACUUCUUUUAUAUGGGAAUAAAGUUUUCCCACGUGUGGAAUUUUGUAUGUACCAUAUGAAUAAGGAUCGGCUAACUCCGUGCCAGCAGCCGCGGUAAUACGGAGGAUCCGAGCGUUAUCCGGAUUUAUUGGGUUUAAAGGGAGCGUAGGUGGACAGUUAAGUCAGUUGUGAAAGUUUGCGGCUCAACCGUAAAAUUGCAGUUGAUACUGGCUGUCUUGAGUACAGUAGAGGUGGGCGGAAUUCGUGGUGUAGCGGUGAAAUGCUUAGAUAUCACGAAGAACUCCGAUUGCGAAGGCAGCUCACUGGACUGCAACUGACACUGAUGCUCGAAAGUGUGGGUAUCAAACAGGAUUAGAUACCCUGGUAGUCCACACAGUAAACGAUGAAUACUCGCUGUUUGCGAUAUACAGUAAGCGGCCAAGCGAAAGCAUUAAGUAUUCCACCUGGGGAGUACGCCGGCAACGGUGAAACUCAAAGGAAUUGACGGGGGCCCGCACAAGCGGAAGGAACAUGUGGUUUAAUUCGAUGAUACGCGAGGAACCUUACCCGGGCUUAAAUUGCAUUUGAAUAUUUUGGAAACAGGUUAGCCGNAAGGCAAAUGUGAAAGUGCUGCAUGGUUGUCGUCAGCUCGUGCCGUGAGGGGUCGGCUUAAGUGCCAUAACGAGCGCAACCCUUAUCUUUNAGUUACUAACAGGUCAUGCUGAGGACUCUAGAGAGACUGCCGUCGUAAGAUGUGAGGAAGGUGGGGAUGACGUCAAAUCAGCACGGCCCUUACGUCCGGGGCUACACACGUGUUACAAUGGGGGGUACAGAAGGCAGCUACCUGGUGACAGGAUGCUAAUCCCAAAAGCCUCUCUCAGUUCGGAUCGAAGUCUGCAACCCGACUUCGUGAAGCUGGAUUCGCUAGUAAUCGCGCAUCAGCCAUGGCGCGGUGAAUACGUUCCCGGGCCUUGUACACACCGCCCGUCAAGCCAUGAAAGCCGGGGGUACCUGAAGUACGUAACCGCAAGGAGCUCCUAGG